UACGUAGGGGGCAAGCGUUGUCCGGAAUCAUUGGGCGUAAAGCGCGCGUAGGUGGCCAUUUAAGUCCGCUGUGAAAGUCAGAGGCUCAACCUUUGAAAGCCGGUGGAUACUGGAUGGCUAGAGUACGGAAGAGGCGAGUGGAAUUCCUGGUGUAGCGGUGGAAUGCGCAGAUAUCAGGAGGAACACCAAUAGCGAAGGCAGCUCGCUGGGACGUUACUGACACUAAGGCGCGAAAGCGUGGGGAGCGAACAGG
rnacentral:rRNA from 1 species